UGUCUACGCUGGCGGCGUGCCUAUUACAUGCUAGUCGUGCGGACAGAAGGGAGCUUGCUCCCGGAUGUUAGCGGCGGACGGGUGAGUAACACGUGGGUAACCUGCCUGUAAGACUGGGAUAACUCCGGGAAACCGGAGCUAAUACCGGAUAGUUCCUUGAACCGCAUGGUUCAAGGAUGAAAGACGGUUUCGGCUGUCACUUACAGAUGGACCCGCGGCGCAUUAGCUAGUUGGUGGGGUAAUGGCUCACCAAGGCGACGAUGCGUAGCCGACCUGAGAGGGUGAUCGGCCACACUGGGACUGAGACACGGCCCAGACUCCUACGGGAGGCAGCAGUAGGGAAUCUUCCGCAAUGGACGAAAGUCUGACGGAGCAACGCCGCGUGAGUGAUGAAGGUUUUCGGAUCGUAAAGCUCUGUUGUUAGGGAAGAACAAGUGCGAGAGUAACUGCUCGCACCUUGACGGUACCUAACCAGAAAGCCACGGCUAACUACGUGCCAGCAGCCGCGGUAAUACGUAGUGGCAAGCGUUGUCCGGAAUUAUUGGGCGUAAAGGGCUCGCAGGCGGUUUCUUAAGUCUGAUGUGAAAGCCCCGGCUCAGCCGGGGAGGUCAUUGGAAACUGGGAAACUGAUGGAAAAAAGAAAGUGUACUCCCGUGUAGCGGUGAAUGGUAAAGAUGUGGAAGACCCAGUGGCGAGGGCAUCUCUGGUCUGUACUGACCUAAAGACAAAGCUGGGAACAAACGAUUAUUCCUGGUAUUCCCCCUAACGAUAUGCAAGGUAGGGUUUCCCCCUUAUGGCGACUGGG
rnacentral:rRNA from 1 species